GAAGUGCGAUAAGUAGUGUGAAUUGCAGAAUUCCGUGGAUCAUCGAAUUUUUGAACGCAAAUUGCACUCUCUGGUAUUCCGGAGAGUAUGCCUGUUUGAGGGUCAUCAAAUAAAAAAUCGAUUUUGUUUACCUUGCCGUAACAUUUUCGGAAUUGGGUCAUCUUAAACCUUCGGGUUCAAGAGGCUUAAAAUUGAUCAUUUUUUGGUAUGAUUUAAGCGUAUUUAAGAUCUCUUAUCACGCGCUUGAUGAGUGCCGGAUGUUUAUUAGGCGUGACCACGAUCGUGGUUUCGCGCCCAUAAUCUUUUCAUGAAAAUGACCUCAAAUCAGGUAGGAUUACCCGCUGAACUUAA
rnacentral:misc_RNA from 1 species